AGGGCAUCCUUGAUGGUUUCAUAUCCAGCCAGUACCACGACCUUCCUGGGUCCAAAAUGCACCGUGAAGACACUGCCAUAGAUCUUGGAGAGCUGUCAAGGUCCACCACGUUCAGGUUCCCGAUCACAGGAAGAGGUCGUGGCCCAGGGGGCAAAUUGCAAACUGACUUCUUGGAGCUGGAGAGAAAGUAAAGGAGAGCAAAGAGCCCUGCUGCCAAACAGAGCAGCGAGCAGGAGCCCAGGGUCAGAACUCAAGGACAGGAGCCAUGCUGGACUCUGUGCCAGGUCACAGGACUCAGCUGGACCCCAGUGAUGCAAUGGAGGAAGCAGGGCACAGGAGGGAAAGCCCACAACAAUGCACAGCCCAGGGUAAGCAAGCCCUUGGGCAGGACAAGACUGACCAUGGACAAGCUGGAAUGGUGGGAUGAAGAUGUGCUAAUUCAGGAUUGAUGACAGGAGCAGAUCUAUUUACAGGUGAGAGCUCUGAUUCUUUUUGCUUUCCUGCCACCCCACUAAAAUCACCUCCUUGAGCAAAUCAGUGUUUUUUAUUGCUAGCAUUGUUACCGUCUUUGUCCCAAGAAUCCCCUACCAGCAAACCCAAAAUAUCAGUCACUAUUUGGCAGUUUAGUGCACAGAGUGCCUGGAUGGCCAAGCCUGCCUCAGCAGCUGGUGAUGACUCCCUCUGUUUAUGAACAGCUGCAUGCCAUCCUCUAGGAGAAACUGUCCCCUGCAGGCAAUCCUGCCUAGAUUGGGAAAGAGAUCCUGAAUCCUGCUAACCUGGGAGGAGCCAGAAUCAGGCUGCAGCUGGCCAGGCAGAAGAUGGAGGUGCCAGGCAGGAGGAGCACAUGGCAGCAGUUCUGGCCCUGCAGGGACUGAGUCAUGUCCCAAGCCCAAGCAAGAGCCCACGUGCCCAGGUGACAGCUCCAAGAGCCACCCCCACCCUCUGCAUCCUUGGGGAUGACAACAAAGCAGAAGUGACCAAGAAUAGGAAGUGCCUUGUAGAAAUGGUGGCUCUAAGGGAAGGAGCUGAUUUGAUGCUCUGUCCCAUAUUUUCCAGUGGGGAUAUUUUACUCCCCAGUUGCAGAUUCUGGCAGAUUACUGGGCUGUGCUGCUGUUGAACCCUUUAGAAAUCUUUAGUUUAAUAAUUCUUUUGCUAGAAUUCUCCAAGGCUCCCGGGUGCAGGCUACACUGAUGGGAAAAUGAUGAUUAUUUAUUAAUAAUAAUAAAAGUACAUUAGCCAAAGGCAAGGGGAAUCAAUAAACUCUAACUAGAUUGACAUGAAAAAGCUGCCUGCUCUCCCAGGCUUGUUUAUCAGGAGAGCAGUUUUUCACAAGGAGAACUUUCCUGUGCAGGCCGGGUGGGCAAAGAGAGGAGGGCACUGGAUGGUCACAUCCAUCUCAGGAUUUGCUGCACAGCUGAGAGGUCUUGGCCUGCACCCUCCUCUCCCAGACAUUUCCAAGAAUAUCCUGUUCUGCCAGAUUCUUCUCUGAGCAAAUGGUGUGACUACUGGGACUCCUGAGACUUUAUAAUAUGCAGUAAGAGGGAGGAAAAAGCCCUGCAUGGGGCCAGUUGGGUACCAAAGGAGGAAAUCUGUUCCUUUUUACACAGAGCUCUGUUGGAGCAGAGCUGGCUGCUACCAGAGCAAGGAAAAUCACCUUCCCUAAGCCUUCAAUCUGUGGUGACAAUAUGGAGUGAGGCCCUUUCUCAAGCAGUGAGCACAUGGACUUGCAGCCUGAUACACUGAAGCCAUGGAGAAAUGAGGGAUGAGCUCUCCAGAGGGAGGGAAUCUUUGCAGUUUUAGAAUAGAGCCAGUGUGAUGCCCUCAGCCCCACUCCGUCCUCACAACCCUCACUUCCAGGGUGCAACCCUGAGCACAGCCUGCAGCCAGAGGAUCCCACACAGGAAUGGGGGAAACAUUGCUCCCAGCUCAUGUCUUUGUCUUUCUAGCAGCCCAGGGCAGAACUCCCUUCAGGUGAGCAGAGUUUGUGGGCACAGCCCAGGGGAUCCAUCAGUUCCUCCUGGACAAUGAGCCUGCCCUUAACACCACAGUAACUCACCUGGAGAAGGUCACAUCACCUCCUCAUGGCACACAGGUGAACAGAGCUACAGUAACUGUAGGAUAAUGCAGGGAAAGGGUUGUUAUAAGUCCAUAAUUCAGUCAAUGACUGCUGAUAACAUCAUAAACCAGCAGAGUGAGCACCAAGUGCCGGUGUGCCUUGCAAGGCUCUGCCACUGCUUUACAGCCCCCAGAGAUGCCUAUCAGCCCAUGCAUUGUUAUCAGGGACAUUUAAAGCCUGAGCACACCCUAUUAAACAUUAACAUUUUUAAAGACCCAGAUGUGUUAAAACUCAGGCUGCUCCUCGCUAAUGGAUUUUGCUUGCCUUGACAAAUGCCAGUGCAAAAAGAAAUCAAAAGCUUUCCGACUCUGACCUCUUUCAAUUUUUCAUCAUUAUUGCAUUGUUUUAUUGGAUUACACCCACUUCUUCCCAACCCAGCAAAUCUGUGUUUCUACAGGAUCACUACAGGGUGGUGUUCUCAAGUGUUCACUUUGCUCAUUUUUAUACAAAUGAUUCUUUAAUUUCUUUUCAUUCAUCUGUCAAACCAGCGUGGGCUGCAAAUCUACUCUGGGAAGAAAGACUCCUGAAAAAAUAUUUUUUUAAAUCUUUAUUUAAUGGCAAUUUUUUAAAAAAAGAGAUUCCUAGGUUGAUUUUUUUUUUCCAUGCUCUGAGUUGAAAGAUUAUAUGUGAUGAGUCAGGUCACUGGGAGAAGAAAAUUAAAAAAAAUCUGUGCAUGAGAUUAGUGCAUUGUCCCUGUGCACAGCCUAAGGUGAGAGUAUUUCCCACUUUAUUUUAUAUACUAACAUUUAUUUAUUUAAAUGCUAACAUUUUCCAAAUGUUAAGCAUUUACCAUUCUUGGGAACUUUGUUGUUUUUAAAAGCCUCCUUCUUGGACUGAAUAGAUGCUAUUCCUUCAUGAGUCUCACCCAGUGAGAAAACACAUGGGAGAUCCUUGGCUUUGAUGCUGGAACCUGAAUUGAAAGGGAGAAAAAUGGUUUACAACAGCCUGUGGCAGUGAUGGAGCAAGAGCCUUAUGUAAGAGCUGGCGGAGGUGAGGCAGCAAUGAGUGAUCCUGGAAGGAUGUUUCUCUGAGGUGUGUUCUCUCCUGGCCUGGGAACAGCAGUCUCAAGGGCACAAAUUCCAGCAUCUGAAUGUGCUUGGUCUUGUUCAGCUCAUUAAUUUCCUACAGCUAUCCCAAGUCAAGCUAUGAAAUCCCCUAGUGCUUUAUUCCGAGCCUUUCAUGGCUUGUCAAUAAAUUAUUUUCCAAUUAAGUACCUGAUAAUUUGAGUCUGCAGGCUCUUAGGAGAGGCAGCGUGGUGAGAGAGAGAAAUAAUGGAAGUCAUGGACUUUUCCCUGCCUGUAAAAUGAAUAAAGGUUCUUCUCUGAAGUGUUACUCAAUUUGGUGCUUCCACAAAGUAAUGGUGAGUGUGUAAUAACUCCUUCUGAGGAGAUGUUUGUCCAGCUGAUGGAUAAACACCACCAGUGGAGUGAGUUUUCAGCACUACCUGAAACACUGGAAAAGAACAGUUUUAAAUGUUAUUUCAGUCCAUAUUAAUGAUGAAAGGUCUGAUUCAAGCAAAGGAUUUUUAUUUCUUUUUUAGUCUAUCAAGCUGUGUAACUUGAAAGGGGAAGAGCCAAGAUUUUCCCUAGUUUGGGAAAUCUUCUAAUUCAAGGAUUUCAAUUUUUGGCAAGGGCUCAGGACUCCAUGCUAGAGGUACUGUGAAACACCACAAAUUAUCUAAUAUCUCUUGUACAAUGAGCACCCUUUUGCUGAAGCAUCUAUUUCAGAUUUCCCUGAUGCAAAGUCUCUUGCUCCUUUGAAAGAUAAGAUGUGAAAAACAUUUCAUUCUCUGUUUGUGGCUCUGUUUUUGUUGAGUUCUUUUGGAACUGGUAGGUUUAAUCCACAAAUGAGGUUUUUUUCUUCACAAUGAUUAUCUAAUAGGGAUUUUAUUUGAUCUCCUUGGGAAAAAUUUAUCCUGAGUUGCUGUAGCAUGUGUAUUAGAUUGUAUGAGAACCUGUACCUUUAAAGGAAAUUCUAGAAGGUACAACUGGCAUUUGCAAUAAAAACAUUAAGUAAUCAUAACCAAACACCAGCUACUAUACCUGACCUGAAUUGAAGUAAUUACAACAUUUAAGACUCCAAAGAAAAACCCUGAGUUAACAAAUUGAUUUAAAAAAAAUAAAAUACAAUGAAUAUAAUAAAAAAUACCAAGUUAAUGUAGCCUUUGCAGAGAAUCACAGAAUGAUUUAGGUUGGAAAAGACCUUUAAGAUCAUUGAGCCCAACUGUUCCCCCACUAAAGUCAUGUCCCCAAGUGCCACAUCUACAUGGCUUUCAAAUGCCUCCAGGGAUGGGGGCUCCACCAGUGCCCUGGGCAGCCUGUGGCAAUGCUGGGGAAGUGAAUUUUCCUACUAUCCACACUGACACCAACUGGGUGUCCUCUACAACCUUACUGAGGUAAAGGUGUUAAACAGCGCUGGAAAGGUUGGUGCUGCUUGCCUGGGAAUAAUUCCACUGUGGGGUCUCUGCAUAUCUUUUUCCCUUGACUUCUUCCUUCAUCACAUGGGAAAUCAGCAAGUUGGCCACUGUGACAGAAAGGAAGGAAUGUAAUUUGGGCAGUUUGCUAAAAUCAAGUGCCUUGGCACAUGAAUUAAAUGUGUUCAGAUAAACCAAAGUUACUUCCCUGCUGCUCAGCUGUCUGAAAUCUGGGAGACUGUUUGCUGCAUUUAUUUAUGAAAGAGGAGUAUUUCCCUUUUACCAUUAAGUGUUAUAACGAAGUCAAGUGGAAAAGUGCUAUUUACUGUAUAAUAAAACCCAUCUAUUGUUCAUAGCCCUGAAAACCUAAUAAUAAAACCUUAUAUUUCAAGCUGUGCAAACCAGUUGCUUAUGUAAUAGAACAUGGUGUAAUUUUCCAUUUACAAUUUCAAUACUGUAAUAAGAAAGCAAUCAAAGCAUAAACAAAAGACACUUUAAAUGGAGCUGCAGUUAAUAUUUCCAUAAUGGCUGUCCUUAAAAAUUGAAGCUAUUUCAUUUCUUUUUUUUUCCCAGCUUUGAAUUCUUCCUGCUUAGCUCAGUCAUUUAAUUAAAAGAAAAUCAACUUAAGAAAGAUAAAAUACUGUCUUAAACCCAUUGCAGCUAUGGGCAAAGAAGAAAAAAUGUCAGUGUAAUCCACGGUUAACACUUGGUGAGUUAAAUUAAAGCUAUUUCUCAUCCUCCUUUCAGAAGGAGACUGUGAAUCUGCAGUUUGUGCUGCAAACCUGCAGGCAAAAGGUUUUUUUUUUCCUUUAUUGUACAUCUUGAGGAUCUGGAAGUUCACCAUUUCUCCAGCUUCUGCCAGCACCCUCUUGGUUUUACUGCUGUUCUCCACCAUUAAUGCCACACGAUGUGAACCCACGUGC